GAUGAAGAACGUAGCGAAAUGCGAUAAGUAAUGUGGAUUGCAGAAUUCAGUGAAUCAUCGAAUCUUUGAACGCAACUUGCGCUCUCUGGUAUUCCGGAGAGCAUGCCUGUUUGAGUAUCAUGAAAUCUCAACCAUUAGGGUUUCUUAAUGGCUUGGAAUUGGGUGUUGCCAGUCGCCUGGCUCGCCUUAAAAGAGUUAGCGUGUUUAACUUGUCUAUCUGGCGUAAUAAGUUUCGCUGGUGUCGGCUUGAGAAGUACGCUUCUAAUCGUCUUCGGACAAUUCUUGAACUCUGGUCUCAAAUCAGGUAGGGCUACCCGCUGAACUUAAGCAUAUCAAUAAGCGGAGGA
rnacentral:misc_RNA from 1 species